UUGUUCGUUUAUCCUUAAUUUCGAGAGUGAACGAUGAGAGCCGAAGUUGAAAACCGAGAAUACCCGAAUGAUUGUCGGAAAGGUACGACGAACGCGCGCGAAAACUACCGAAGUUAUCCGCGCGAAAGCCGUUAGGUACGAUCAGUCGUAGUUUGUCGAUCAAAGAGAGAGGAGUAUUAAUUUUUCCUUUCCGACACGUGUGUUUAGUUCUAUCAUUUAUAUAAAUUUUUACAUUUUAAAAAACACAUUCGAAACGUUUGAUUCGAUUGAACUUUUACAUAACAUAAGAUUGUAGUCAUAAAUUGGGAAUGUGAUUGUUUGAUGUGAAGUAACAUAAAAAUUUAAAACAUUUUCUGACGAAUACUGCAAGUGUUAGUGAAUAAAAAAAAUUGUAAAUUUAUGACAUUCGUGACUGGAAAUGUAUAUUUGAGAGGCUAGAACAGAAGUUUAAUAAUUAUCGAAAUGACAAAGGAAAAUUAAUUGUUCGGGAAAACAUUUUGGUGUUGUGACUGCAAUUGAUUCUGAUUAGCGGAUACGUUGUCUAGUCGAGCAUUAAUCAUGAACUCGCAGUUAUAACCGGGUGUCUCGAGGUCAGGGUCAUGUUUAGCGUACACGGAGAAAGCGGGAAAAAAGAAACUGUGGUCGCCUUAUCCAACCGAGGAGAAACGGCUCUCGGAUGAAGAGAAAAAGCUGAUUGGGACAUGAUCGAAGGGUGAAAAAGUUGAAAGAAAGUUAGCCUCUGUUUCUGCCAGGAAGGAAGAAGCUGUUAAUGAAACUUAUCUUCAAUUUUCACCAGAUGGAAAUCAGAAAGAGAUAUAAGUAAUUCUAAAUAAAAUAUUAACAG